AGAUUGAACGCUGGCGGCAUGCCUUACACAUGCAAGUCGAACGGCAGCACGGGGGCAACCCUGGUGGCGAGUGGCGAACGGGUGAGUAACAUAUCGGAACGUGCCCUGGAGUGGGGGAUAACUAGUCGAAAGAUUAGCUAAUACCGCAUACGAUCUACGGAUGAAAGUGGGGGAUCGCAAGACCUCAUGCUCGUGGAGCGGCCGAUAUCUGAUUAGCUAGUUGGUGGGUAAAGGCCUACCAAGGCAUCGAUCAGUAGCCGGUCUGAGAGGACGACCAGCCACACUGGGACUGAGACACGGGCCCAGACUCCGUACGGGAGGCAGCAGGUGGGGAAUUUUGGACAAGUGGGCGCAAGCUGAUCCAGCAAUGCGCGUGAGUGAAGAGGCUUCGGUUGAACGCUUCUUUGUCGAGGAAGAACGGUGG
rnacentral:rRNA from 1 species